rnacentral:pre_miRNA from 1 species
GAUAUACUCCCUCCGUCCCAAAAUAAGUGACUCAAGUUUGUACUAACUUUGUACUAAAGCUAGUAUAAAGUUGAGUCACUUAUUUUGGGACGGAGGGAGUAUGCU